rnacentral:misc_RNA from 1 species
GGCCCAGCACUUUGAAAUCGUCGCUCGCUGUCAGGGUGGGGCUAAUGCUGGGCACACAAUAUAUAAUGCAGAAGGGAAGAAGUUUGCUCUUCAUCUCAUUCCCUCAGGGAUCCUUAAUGAGGAUACUUUAUGUGUUAUUGGAAAUGGAGUUGUGGUGCACGUGCCUGGUUUCUUUGAGGAAAUCGACCGUCUAGAAGCAAGUGGAGUCUCGUGCAAGGGAAGGAUCUUGGUAUCUGACCGAGCCCAUCUGUUAUUUGAUUUCCAUCAGGAGGUGGAUGGUCUAAGAGAAGCUGAGUUAGCUAAAUCUUUC